GUCCUAGCGGUAAACGUUGUGCACUAGGUGUGGGGCCCCGACGAGGGGCUCCGUGCCGCAGCGAAAGCAUUAAGUGCACCACCUGGGGAGUACGGCCGCAAGGCUGAAACUAAAAGGAAUUGACGGGGGCCCCGCACAAGCGGUGGAGUAUGUGGUUUAAUUCGACGCAACGCGAAGAACCUUACCUGGGCUUGACAUGCUUAGGACCGGAGUGGAAACAUUCCUUUCCCGCAAGGGACCUUUGCACAGGUGCUGCAUGGCUGUCGU
rnacentral:rRNA from 1 species